rnacentral:rRNA from 1 species
UACGGGGGGGGCAAGCGUUGUUCGGAAUUACUGGGCGUAAAGGGUUCGUAGGUGGCUGGCUAAGUCAGACGUGAAAUCCCUCAGCUUAACUGGGGAACUGCGUCUGAGACUGGUCGGCUCGAGUGCAGGAGAGGAAUGCGGAAUUCCAGGUGUAGCGGUGAAAUGCGUAGAUAUCUGGAGGAACACCGGUGGCGAAGGCGGCAUUCUGGACUGCAACUGACACUGAGGAACGAAAGCCAGGGGAGCAAACGG